rnacentral:tRNA from 1 species
GGCCGAAUAGCAUAAUGGUAAUGCAUAGGUCUGCAAAACCUUUUAUGGCGGUUCAAUUCCGCCUUCGGCUU